UACGUAGGGUGCGAGCGUUAAUCGGAAUUACUGGGCGUAAAGUGUGCGCAGGCGGCCGAGCAAGUCGAGUGUGAAAGCCCCGAGCUUAACUUGGGAAUUGCGCUCGAAACUACUUGGCUGGAGUGUGGCAGAGGAAGGUGGAAUUCCAGGUGUAGCGGUGAAAUGCGUAGAGAUCUGGAGGAACACCGAUGGCGAAGGCAGUCUUCUGGGCCAACACUGACGCUCAUGCACGAAAGCGUGGGGAGCAAACAGG
rnacentral:rRNA from 1 species